AGCGUUUGAUAUUUCAACAGGAUGAUUACUUGAUUGGUUUUCAACGAUCCAAGUUAUUCGCAUUACAAAACUGGAGAUGGUUAACCAUGGAAAAGUUACCAGAUUCAAGAGAUAAUUAGUAACUCUGUAUUGGUUUUUCGAAAGGAUCCAGAUCAUGCUAUAUUUCAGAUCACUCGACACACUUCAAUAAAUUUUGGCAGUUUGAGUAAAUUACCAGUAAAAUCCUUUAGUUGCAAAC